GACGAACGCUGGCGGCGUGCUUAACACAUGCAAGUCGAACGGAAAGGCCCUGCUUUUGUGGGGUGCUCGAGAGGCGAACGGGGGAGUAACACGUGAGUAACCUGCCCUUGACUUUGGGAUAACUUCAGGAAACUGGGGCUAAUACCGGAUAGGAGCUCUUGCUGCAUGGGGGGGGUUGGAAAGAUUCGGCGGUUGGGGAUGGUCUCGCGGCUUAUCAGCUGGUUUGGGGGGUAGUGGCUGACCACGGCUUUGAAGGGUAGCCGGCCUGAGAGGGGGGCCGGCCACAUUGGGACUGAGAUACGCCCCAGACUCCUACGGGAGGCAGCAGUGGAGAAUCUUGCACAAUGGGCGGAAGCCUGAUGCAGCAACGCCGCGUGCGGGAUGACGGCCUUCGGGUUGUAAACCGCUUUCGCCUGUGACGAAGCGUGAGUGACGGUAAUGGGUAAAGAAGCACCGGCUAACUACGUG
rnacentral:rRNA from 1 species